GGGGAUAUAGCUCAAUGGCAGAGCAAACGGCUCAUAACCGUUCGGUUCCUGGUUCGAAUCCAUGUAUCCCCACCA
rnacentral:tRNA from 1 species